rnacentral:misc_RNA from 1 species
UGCCUUGUGCAAGGAGAUGACUAUUUACUAUGGUUCUUUUGCACUCAUUUACUUGCUCCUUUGCUUUUCUCUGCAAGUAAUCCAUCAGUAAUUUGGAGCUAGGGGGCAGAAUCUACGGUUUCUUACUCUCAUGCUGAUGCCCCUCCAUCUUUGCAACUAUUGGUGAAUUGUUGGUCAUAUGGAACAUUUUCCUGAAAAAAGUUGAAAGAAAGUAAUGAAAUGGAGAUCCAAUCAAUAAAUCCAAUGCAAACUAUACAAAAAGAUCCAAAAGAUCAAAGGGAAGAAAAGAAAAUCUUUCACAAGAUAAUAUUGUGAAAUUUUUCCUAAAUCAUGAGUUGUUUAUGGGUAAGUUUAAAUGUUUAAUAAGUAGUCCCCUAGAUUUUAUGUGUUAUUGGACUUGUGACAAAAUCGAAGGAUUGAUGAGUUGCAUCACAAUACCAAAUACAAGAUGUUUCUCAACUCCACUUGGAACAAAUACUUCCACAAAUACAAAUUGAAAAAGAACGAAAAAUGAUUCCUACAGGAGGAGGAAUAAUUCUGUAUGCAGUGGAUUGAUGCAGGAAGGCUGUGAGAUCAAGCGUGAGUUCUAGAUUUAAGUGAAGAAAAGAAACAAUGAAAUUGAUGUGCCUUGCGCAUGAUAUAGCAAAUUAGAAAUGCUGAAAGCACGCUGUGAAAUGCACAAAGAAAUGUUAUUGAAUCUAUUGAUUUUCAGGGACUUGUUCCAAUUUUUUAUUAAAAAUGCACUGAAUUUCUCCGGAUUUGUGAUGAAUCUUAGCAAUCAAAGGGAAUGGAACACAGAAAUGUAAAAAUAUCAUUCAGCAACCAUUAAAAUAGCCAUACGUAUAGGCAAAAUCUAGAGAUGUAGAAGUAGGAAAAUGAGUGUAUGUA